CUACGGGUGGCUGCAGUUAGGGAUAUUGCACAAUGGGGGGAACCCUGAUGCAGCAACGCCGCGUGGAGGAUGACGCAUUUCGGUGUGUAAACUCCUUUUAUAUGUCAAGAAAAUGACGGUAGCAUAUGAAUAAGCACCGGCUAACUCCGUGCCAGCAGCCGCGGUAAUACGGAGGGUGCAAGCGUUACUCGGAAUCACUGGGCGUAAAGGACGCGUAGGCGGGUUGGAAAGUCAGGUGUGAAAUCCUACAGCUUAACUGUAGAACUGCACUUGAAACUUCUAAUCUAGAGUAUGGGAGGGGGAGAUGGAAUUAGUGGUGUAGGGGUAAAAUCCGUAGAUAUCACUAGGAAUACCUAAAGCGAAGGCGAUCUCCUGGAACAUUACUGACGCUAAGGCGUGAAAGCGUGGGGAGCAAACAGGAUUAGAUACCCCUGUAGUC
rnacentral:rRNA from 1 species